GCCAGUUCCAUUCCUCUAAUUGGUAUCUCCAGUUCUUGCAAUUUCUUUCCUGGGUUUAAGUGGUUGGGUUUGGAGAAUCUGAUUUGAGGUCUCUCCCACAACAUGGCAUCCUGUGAAAAUUAAGCAAUUUGGCCCCUGGUAUCAACAGAGAUUUGGCUUCUAAAAUGAACUCGAGUGCCGUUGUGUUAUCUUUUGCACACAACGCCUUGACCAAGAGAUUCAACCUCUCUGAAGCAUUUUCAGCAUAUGAUCUGCACAUUUUCUUUACCUGCAAAGUAAUACUUUGUUAAUAUCCAUAUGCAAUUCACUAUAAACAAUAUUAUACGUACUAAUUUUGAAUACAUAAAUAGAUACACAUUUAUGUGU